rnacentral:lncRNA from 1 species
UUAGGAUUUGAUUUAGGAUUUAGUAUUUGUCUAGGAUUUGCUUUAGGAUUUAAGGUUUGUUUAAGAUUUGAUUUAGAGUCUAGGAUUUUAUCUAAGAUUUGGUUUAGAAUUUAGAAUUUAUCUAGGAUUUGAUUUAUGUUUUGGUUUAGAGUUUAGGAUUUAGGAUUUGUCCAGGGUUUGAUUUAUUUUUUGGUUUAAAAUUUAGGAUUUAAGAUUUCUCUAGGAUUUGAUUGAAAUCUAUUAGAAUUUUAAUUAAGAUGAAAU